CACACAGGUAAUAAAUACACUUUCAACUUGUAAGGGGCCAUACUUGUGAACAUUGAUUAUUUCCUGUAACAAUUUCAGCCUAAUAAAAGAUCUUAAAGAGCGACUGCCCAUAAUCAACUAAUCCCAUUAAAUGGCCUAUGUGGCAUUGAUAAGAGUCACACACAUUUAUUAUAGUGUGAAAAUAGGGCAAUCAGUCUUUGUCAAUGUCAGUCUUGUCAAAAACGGAGUUUGGAACCAAGUGCGUCACAACGAGUAAAUGAAGGUUGGUUUUGGAUUACAAUUAUGUCAACAAAUCAUCCCCAAUUUUGCCUCGCUCCACGUGCAACUCGCCCCAUCCGCUUCGCUUUUCAGAAUGGGGCUCUUUUUUUUCAUCACCGCCGUUUAUGACUAAAAAGCCCUGUGUGGAUUGACCAUGACUCCACACCCAAAGUUAUAUGGUUUGCAUGCCCUGCCGAAGGACCCUAGUAUGCGGAAAGGCGGUUGGAGUUCGCCAGUCCCCUCUGCACCACCAGUAUAGUAACGCUAGCUGGUGUGCAACGUUCGGUGGUGGUGAGUAUAACCAGAGAUACUGUUAUAUGACCUCUGGUAUAAUUUAGCUAACGUUAUUGCUGGUUAAGUAGCUAUCUUUUGACAAAGCGAGGCAGGCUAGCUAACGUUUUAGCUAUUGUUAGCAUAGCUAGCUAGCUCGUUACAAUAGCUCAUACUGCUGGUUAUAUAACGUUAUCAUUUGACAUGUCGGAUUUGCAAGUGUCUUCUGUACGUUAUUUCCAAAGGCAAAACUAAAUAAUAAAUGCAACUAUGGUGAUAGUUAACUCAUGUGUGAGUCUGACUAAUACGAUGAACUAGGAGCAACAACCCGCAAUGGCGUCACUGGCCUGAAUCCAAUCUGGAGCUACAGUCAGUCUACAUCUAUAAAGCAUAUCAUUAUGGUUUCCACAUCCACAAUCGGUUAUAUGGCAAAAAUGAAUGUAACAUUUAAAAAUGUAUGUUGGUCUUAAUUUAAAGUUACGUUUAAAAAUCACAUUUUAAUAAGAUAAAUUGUAGAAAUAGGCGAGGUGUUUGACUUUGUGGCUGUGGUAACUAGUGACGACCUAGAAUUAGCUUGACCCGAGUUACUGCCCUGAUGACACAGGCGGCUUCAUCAACAACGGCAAUGUGUGUUAUAUGAAAGGUUGUGUAAAAAAAACACGGUUUUGUUAAAACUAUUAGGUGAAUUACCCAGUCAAGCAGAUACAAGUAGUACAGUAAUUUUGGUUUUGAAGUGCAUUAUCAAAAAGCUUUGUCAUUUCUUUAACAAAAUGCAAUUUACCACUUGGCUGUCUAUCAUAUAACCCUAACACAACCUCAUAAGAUGAGGAAGUCCAUUGUUUAUGAGGAUUGCUUGCAGCAGUUGUUCGAGAGAUAUCCAGUUUGCUUCCAAACAUGCAAUAUAGAGAAGACCAGCAAGGGGACCCUUAGCAUCACGCAGACAUGCCCUCGCUGUGACGAUUCCUAUAAAUUGAACAGGGAGGAUGCUUGAAUCGGGUUGGUGACAUUUGACCUGGUCAAAUGUUUACCGUUCUAUUUCAGCGAGCAGCUUGGUUCCACCAAUCGAGUCAUAACCACCAUUGAUAAUGUAAUCAGUGCUCUGUGUUUGUGUGUGACUGACCAAGCACAAGCGGGGUGCUGGCAAAGACCUUACCUCAAUUCUCACCUCUUGCCUGCUCACCAGCGGUCAUUGAUGGGGAGACCAGAAUUAGGUAGGUUUAGUCUGACCUGUUCAAACUUCAACAUAGUUUGUUUGUCAUAUCACCUAUUCUAACUGCUAUUUGGUUAUAGAACACUGACUGUGUAUGUGUUCACAGAUUAAGCUAUGGUGGCAGCACAUGGAGAGAUGUGAUGGAGUCCUGACCGACAGAGGCUUGAUAGUGACGUCUCAAUGGAGAGAGACCUGGCACUCAACACAUCCACAAUGUGGGACAGAAGUUCUACAGAUGGACUGCAGAUGCUUUUGCCAGACGGCAGCCAGUCGUUUGAUGGGGGAGACCAUAAUUGGGCAGGUUUUAUUUGACUUGUUCAAACUUCAACAUAGUACCUACCUGUGUGUCAGAUAUCACCUAUCCUAACUGCCAUUGGUAAUAGAACAGUGACUAUGUAUGUGUUCACAGAAACAUCUAUGGAGCCAGCACAUGGAGACUUGCAAGAUGAUGUGAUGAAGUCCAGACUAACAGACAGGCUUGACACUGAUGUCUCUGAAUAGAGCGAGACCUGGCAUUAACAUUUUACUAGACAAUUUUUACUUGUAUUGCCUUUUUUAAAUGAUUGAAUUGAAUGCUAUCAGUCAAUAUGUGGAGGGAGAAACCCUGUGUAUUCUGAACCAGGAUCAGGGAACUCCUGUUGUAUAUGGGACACCACACAGGAAGGUAUGACCACUCUGACAUGUUUGCCCCAUUACUACCAGACAAAAUGCUGAUAGGAAUGACAAUGAAAGUUUCACAUUGUUAUAUUAGCAGAACACUGCUUCUAUGAUAUUAUGUAAAGGGUGGUUUAUUCUACAUGGACCUGUUACUACAUUUUAAAGUAAUCAAAACACUUAGUAAAAUCUUUUAAAUUGUUGCAUGUUGCAUUUGAAGCUGAAAAUGUGUCCACCUGUAUUCCCAGGCAUGUGAAAUCUGUAGAUUAGGGCCAAAUGAAUGUUUCAAGUGACUGAUUUUCUUAUAUGAACUAACUCAGUAAAAUGUUGCAUGUUGCGUUUAUUUUUGGUCAGUGUAGAUAUUCUAAACUGAGUUAGUUCAUAUAAGGAAAUCUGUCAAUUGAAAUAAAUGAGGCCCUAAUCUACAGAUACAUUUUCAGCUUCCAGGAAUUGUGUACAGAUCCUUGCGACAUGGGGCAGUGCAUUAUCAUGCUAAAACAUGAGGUGAUGACGGCAGAUGAAUGGCACGACAAUGGGCCUCAGGAUCUCAUCAUGGUAUCUCUGUGCAUUCAAAUUGCCAUCGAUAAAAUGCAAAUGUGUUUGUUGUCUGUAGCUUAUGCCUGCCCAUACAAUAACCCCACCGUCACCAUGGGGACCUCAGUUCACAACAUUGACAUUGGCAAACUGCUUGCCCACACACAAUGCCAUACAGGCUGUCUGCCAUCUGCCCGGAACAGUUGAAACUGGGAUUCAUCCGUGAAGAGCACACUUCUCCACUGGCCAUCGAAGGCGAGCAUUUUCCCACUAUAGUUGGUUACGACGCCGAACUCCAGUCAGGUCAAGACCCUGUUGAGGACGACGAGCACCCAGAUGAGCUUCCCCGAGACGGUUUCUGACAUGUUGUGCAGAAAUUAUUCGGUUGUGCAAACCCAGUUUCAUCAGUUGUCCUGGUGGCUAGUUUCAGACGAUACUGCAGAUGAAGAAGCCAGAUGUGGAGGUCCUGGGCUGGUAUGGUUACAUGUGGUUGUGAGGCCCAUUAGACGUACUGCCAAAUUCUCUAAAACGGAGGCAGCUUAUGGUAGAGAAAUUAACAUUCAAUUCUCUGCACCAGCUCUGGUGGACAUUCCUGCAGUCAGCAUGCCAAUUGCACAUUGAACUUGAUACUUAUGUGGCAUUUUAGUAGCCUUGUAUUGUCCCCUAGCACAAGGUGCACCUGUAACGAUCAUGCUGUUAAAUCAGCUUCUUGAUAUGCCACACCUGUCAAAUGGAUUAUCUUGGCAAAGGAGAAAUGCUCACUAAUGGGGAUGUAAAUAAAUCUGUGCACAAAAGUUGAGAAAA